rnacentral:rRNA from 1 species
GAUGAACGCUAGCGGCAGGCCUAAUACAUGCAAGUCGAACGGUGUCUUCGGACAUAGUGGCGCACGGGUGCGUAACACGUAUGCAACCUACUUUACAUUGGGGGAUAGCCUUUCGAAAGGGAGAUUAGUACCGCAUAAGACAGUAGCUGGGCAUCCAGCAGCUGUUAAAGAUUUAUCGAUGUAAGUUGGGCAUGCGUCCAAUUAGCUAGUUGGUGAGGUAACGGCUCACCAAGGCAAUGAUUGGUAGGGGAACUGAGAGGUCAAGCCCCCACACUGGCACUGAGAUACGGGCCAGACUCCUACUGGAGGCAGCAGUAGGGAAUAUUGGGCAAUGGACGCAAGUCUGACCCAGCCAUGCCGCGUGCAGGAUGAAGGCGUUAUGCGUUGUAAACUGCUUUUAUACAGGAAGAAACGACUCUUGCGAGAGGCAUUGACGGUACUGUAUGAAUAAGCACCGGCUAACUCCGUGCCAGCAGCCGCCGUAAAAC